rnacentral:rRNA from 1 species
CUCUUCGGGGAUGAUUAAACCGGCGCACGGGUGAGUAACACGUGAGUGACCUGCCUUUUAGACUGGAACAACUUACCGAAAGGUGAGCUAAUGCCGGAUGAGUUAUAUAAGUGCAUGUUUAUAUAGGAAAAGUUGGGGAGACCUGACGCUGAAAGAUGGACUCGCGUCCCAUUAGCUAGUUGGUAGGGUAAUGGCCUACCAAGGCGACGAUGGGUAGCCGGCCUGAGAGGGUGGCCGGCCACACUGGGACUGAGACACGGCCCAGACUCCUACGGGAGGCAGCAGUGGGGAAUUUUGCGCAAUGCUCGUAAGAGUGACGCAGCGACGCCGCGUGAAUGACGAAGGCCUUCGGGUCGUAAAGUUCUUUCGACAGGGAAGAAAAUGCCUAUAAGUAACUGUGUAUGUAUUGACGGUACCUGUAUAAGCAGCCCCGGCUAACUCCGUGCCAGCAGCCGCGGUAAUACGGAGGGGGCGAGCGUUGUUCGGAGUGACUGGGCGUAAAGAGCACGUAGGCGGUGUUGUAAGUCAUUAGUCAAAGACUAGAGCUCAACUUUAGUAAGGCUAGUGAUACUAUAAUACUAGAGUAUCAGAGAGGAUUGCAGAAUUCCUGGUGUAGCGGUGAAAUGCGUAGAUAUCAGGAGGAAUACCGUUAGCGAAGGCGGCAAUCUGGCUGGAAACUGACGCUGAGGUGCGAAAGCGUGGGUAGCAAACAGGAUUAGAUACCCUGGU